CACGUAGGGUGCGAGCGUUGUCCGGAAUUAUUGGGCGUAAAGAGCUCGUAGGCGGUGUGUCGCGUCGGCCGUGAAAACCUGCAGCUUAACUGUGGGCUUGCGGUCGAUACGGGCAUCACUGGAGUUCGGCAGGGGAGACUGGAAUUCCUGGUGUAGCGGUGAAAUGCGCAGAUAUCAGGAGGAACACCGAUGGCGAAGGCAGAUCUCUGGGCCGUAACUGACGCUGAGGAGCGAAAAGCGUGGGGGAGCGAACAGG
rnacentral:rRNA from 1 species